rnacentral:tRNA from 2 species
GGGGACGUAGCUCAACUGGGAGAGCGCCAGGUUUGCAACCUGGAGGUUGCCGGUUCGAGCCCGGCCGUCUCCA